rnacentral:rRNA from 1 species
UACGUAGGAUGCAAGCGUUGUCCGGAAUUAUUGGGCGUAAAGAGAACGUAGGUGGCUUGUUAAGUUCGGUCUUAAAGACCGGGGCUCAACCCCGGGAGUGAUUGAAGACUGGCAGGCUAGAGGAUGUCAGAGGAUGGUGGAAUUCCCAGUGUAGCGGUGAAAUAGCGUAGAUAUUGGGAGGAACACCUGUGGCGAAGGCGACUACCUGGACUGAUACUGACACUGAGGUGCGAAAGCGUGGGGAGCAAACAGGAUUAGAAACCCCGGUAGU